rnacentral:tRNA from 1 species
CCGUGGCCUAGUGGAUAGGGCAUCUGACUCCGACUCAGAAGACCGUGGGUUCGAAUCCCGCCGGG